rnacentral:tRNA from 1 species
GCCGAAGUGGCGGAAUUGGCAGACGCGACGGACUCAAAAUCCGUUGGGGCUUACACCCCGUGUGGGUUCGACUCCCACCUUCGGCACCA